GCAGGCCUAACACAUGCAAGUCGAGCGGAUGAGGGAAGCUUGCUUCCCGAUUUAGCGGCGGACGGGUGAGUAAUGCCUAGGAAUCUGCCUGUUAGUGGGGGAUAACGUUCCGAAAGGAACGCUAAUACCGCAUACGUUCUACGGGAGAAAGUGGGGGAUCUUCGGACCUCACGCUAACAGAUGAGCCUAGGUCGGAUUAGCUAGUAGGUGAGGUAAUGGCUCACCUAGGCUACGAUCCGUAACUGGUCUGAGAGGAUGAUCAGUCACACUGGAACUGAGACACGGUCCAGACUCCUACGGGAGGCAGCAGUGGGGAAUAUUGGACAAUGGGCGAAAGCCCUGAUCCAGCCAUGCCGCGU
rnacentral:rRNA from 1 species